GCCGAUGUGGUGAAACUGGCAAACACAAAGCACUCAAAAUGCUUCGCCUUAACGGGUUUGUGGGUUCGACUCCCACCAUCGGCA
rnacentral:tRNA from 1 species